CAAAUUGAUAGAGAAGAAGAUGGUGGGUUGAAGUGUAAACAGGACUGAAAUUCAAAGAGGGUUUUCAAGAAUUAAAGUUCAUAUUGAUGGAAGGAAAAGGCAUUCCUCCUAACGAUAUCAGAUCUUCCCAUCAUUCCCACCAACAUGUCGAUGUCAUCAGAACGACGCAAGGUAAUGAAGCAGAGUUUGGUAAUACUGUCAUGACUACUCCGCAAAGAAAUUUAGAUGAGUUUAUAUCCAACUUAACAAGGGAAGAAGACGACCUUAAGCAACAACUAC
rnacentral:sRNA from 1 species